UACGAAGGGUGCAAGCGUUACUCGGAAUUACUGGGCGUAAAGCGUGCGUAGGUGGUGAGUUAAGUCUGAUGUGAAAUCCCCGGGCUCAACCUGGGAAUGGCAUUGGAUACUGGCUCGCUAGAGUGCGGUAGAGGGUGGUGGAAUUCCCGGUGUAGCAGUGAAAUGCGCAGAUAUCAGGAAGAACACCCGUGGCUAAGGCGGCUCUCUAGUACGGUACUGACGCUGAGACGCGAAAGCGUGGGGAGCGAACAGG
rnacentral:rRNA from 1 species